rnacentral:rRNA from 1 species
CCUACGGGAGGCAGCAGUGGGGAAUAUUGGACAAUGGGCGAAAGCCUGAUCCAGCAAUACCGCGUGUGUGAAGAAGGCCUUCGGGUUGUAAAGCACUUUCACUAGGGAGGAAAGGCUGUGCGUUAAUAGCGUACAGCUGUGACGUUACCUAUAGAAGAAGCACCGGCUAACUCCGUGCCAGCAGCCGCGGUAAU